UUAUGGUGGAUGCAGUGCAACGACUCUGCUUUCUUCUUUGCAGCAGAUACUUCAGUACCCACAAAGCAGACGACUGGAACUUGCCUUACCACACCAACUGCCAGCUCUGCUGAUGUUGCCAAUGCAGAAUGAAGUCAGACUUGGCAGGCACUCUGAAGCAAUGAUUAUAAGUAGAGACAACCAUGAAAGCAACCAGCUCAGGAAGCUAAGCUCCACCUAACGCUGCACAACCCACACAGAAAGCCUUGAUAUGUGCACAGGACUGGCCAUGGGAGAUACCUGUAAUCCCUGACAGUGUCCAAACUUCAGCUCUUGUGGUCGGAAAGGCUCUUGCAGGUGGAUUUCAGUACCAGCAAAGCUAAUGAUCCAUCCUCAGACUGCAGUUCAGAUGAAAUGGGGCUGGUUCUUGCAGAGGCUCCGACUCAUCAGACAUGCUAUUCCCCAGCGACCAGCUGUCUGUGCUGAUCUAAGAAGCAGACAGUGGAGCAGCAGUGCUCUCUUUUGCAAUGCAUCCUACCUCCCUGGCUUGGAGAACAGCACUGAGAAACACUCAAGCUCACACUCAGAAAGCCCCAGUUUUUUUCCAGUGGUUUUCAGAGGCCAAAAGGAUUCUGCUCAGGCACUCAUUGAAGUUGUCACCAGCUAAUGAACACUCCUAACUAUGGGGAGAGGACAUUGUGGGAUCCCUCAGCCAGGAGAGGACUCUCCACCCUGGACAGCAUCACAAGGUGCAGAACCAGUCUAUGAUUCUAUGUACUAGAUGUGAUCAGGGGACAAAGCAGGACCAGGAUCAAACCUUCCCACCAGAUCCUAACAAAGCCUGUGCCAGGAGGAUGAUACCAGAGACUCCUCCAGGACCACGCUGCCAUCAUCAUUUCAUGUCACUGUUAACAGCUUUCCGCAAUCACACAGACCUUGCCAGAUGUCACUAACAGGAUUUAGAUUAUCCUCUGCAUUCCUUGUGUCAGCUGCUUGUCUGAUCACCCCUGGCUAUAAUCGGUUUGGUGCUGCAGAACAGCCUGACUUCCAGCAAGGACUCUCUGCAGCUGAGCUGAUGUCCCCUCUGUGCCACUGCUGAACAUUUCAGCUGCUCCAUGACAGGGAGACUCAGUGAGGACCUACAAAACGAAAAGCUUGAGGGACACAUGGGACACACCAUCACGUCCUAUACAGUCCCUUGUAGAGUCUAUGGUUCUAAUGCUGUGGGCUCAGAGGAUGGGCCAGCAUCUGAAGAUGCUGCUCUCUUGCUGCCUUUCCUUGCAUACUCCCAAUAUCUGAGCACUGUGUCAUUGCCAGCUGUUAGCUUUCUUUCUGAAGUCAUGUGCAAGCUUAAGAACUUUCUGCAGACCUAGCAGGCUUCACAUCUGAACUAGUUUUAGAAGACAAGAUUGUGGAAUUACGCAUAGACUUCAGGCAGUGGAUAAUAAUCCUAUUGGCAAGUGCCCUAGGGGAGAGGUAAAAGCUUCAUGGUCCAUUACACACAAAAGGAAGAAAAUUAUGAAGAUAAUGUGCAAGGAGAAGAAGGAGAAAGUGCAAUGCCUUUCCUCUGAAUAGCCUCCACUUCAAAAACUAGAUUUGUGUGGAAGCAUUAAGAUUUUCAUCCCUUCAGUUGUAUUUCUCUGGAAUAUUCCCCUCUAGUUUCCUAACUUAGCUCUAAAGUAACUUUCUUUUCAGCACAAUGCACUCAGAUCCCCAGCCCCUGUAUACUCAACAGCACUCAAUCAGGCAGCUAUCACAAGCAAUGCUUUCUUUCCACUUGCAAUUUGUACAACAGGGGGGGAAAAACUAAACCAUUCAGUACAGAACACUGCAUCCAUCACCUGCAUGUUAAAGCCACCCUGACUUUGUCUCCCUCAACCUCCUGUGAAAUUUUCCUCCUCAUAUUUUCCCAUUCUGGUUAAAAAGAUGGUAUUAUCAAUUCAGUUCUACGACUUGAGACUUUUUUGGGGGGGUGAGAAGCAUCUGUAGCUUCCUCCUAUGCAAAGAAAAAUGAUCUCACAGUGUUUGGUGCAAGGCUAAGUCAAGCUACACUCAGCGAGAGGAUGUCUAUUCAAGGACCUCAGCAUUCAAGGUCGCCAGCGCUUCAUCAUCAGGCGUAACAGGAGAAGCCAGUUACUAAUCCCAGUAGUAUCUCAGAAUCAUUAAGGUUGGAGAAGGGCUUCUAAGGUCCGACCCAAACCCAUCCCCACAAUACCCAUCUCAUAACCACCUCCAUGGGGCGGAGGUCCACUCCUUCCCUUAUCACCCCAUUCCAUUGCCCGACCUCUCCUUCGGAGAAGAAAUACCCAAUACCCAACCUGAAAGAUGGAUAUUAGCAAAGGCUUUUUCUAGCUCGGCUUUCAAGGAAUAACCAAGUCAAAGCGAAGGCGGCUGCGAUGUAUCCUACAACAUAUAUCCGAACCCAUCGCUUCCGAUUGCCCCGACGGCCGCGCUGCUCCGCAUCCCCCGCUCUACCCUCUCCUCCCUCCGCCUUUCCCGUAGGGCUGCCGGCUCCCCGGGCAUCCCUCGGACCGGGUCCAUCCCCGUUACCUUCCGUAGAUAGCCGGGCUCUGAACUGCGACGGCAGCGGGGCAGGGGCAGCUCCGCUGUCCGGUGGGGAGGGCGGAGCCGGGGCGGCGCCCGCACAUCAUCAUCAUCAUCCCGCAGCUCCAAGCCUUCGUUCUGUCUGCUGUCCGCUCAUCUCCACCGUCUGUUGGGGUUAUUGCAACAACUGGACAGUGAAAUAACCGAGCAAACAGCUGGAACAGCCUUGUGUUAAGCACUCCAGAGUUAAGCCUCCCCACUGCUCACCAACCCACCUUCAGUUUGCAUACACACUGGCACACCUGAGCCCAUGUCACACCCAUACACUCACUCCCAUAACAAACAGAGAGCCCAGGAAAACAGAAGUGGAGCUCAGAAAGGAGGUAGGACAAGCUGUGCUGACAGAGCACAGCAUACAAGCAUCUGACCAGCACAGAACAACACAAUUAUCAAGGUUGGAAAACAAAAACUAGAAGAUCAUCCAGUCCAACCAUCACCAACACUUCCCAGUUCAAUCAUAUCCCUCAACAUGCAAACUAAUUGUGCACUGCAGCACUACAGAGAUGGGGACACAGGAACACACACACACAGUGGGGUCAGCAGUUCCUACCCUCCUCUGACACCAGUCCUUGAUGUAAAAAAAUGUCCUGUUCUCUAUUUAAACUCCUUUGCUUCUGUCUGCAGCCCUUUAUUUAGCACCGGGUUGGGCAGGAAGAGUUGCCUAUUGAAAGGUAUUGAUUUUUUUCUGUUUUGUGCCUUUCUGGUUUUGCUUUUUCAUACUCCCUAAUUAGCUGGAGCAUUUCUGCACUGCAGUUCCUUCUGCCUUUACCUCUGAUGCUCUUUAUGCUUCUAGCCCAGGAGCUGCCCUUCUCCUAGAUCAACACCCAGAGAAACUGUGAUUAUUUUUCACUUCUGCUGAUGUAAAAGCUUACCUUGGCACCAUUCACAGUCAGUACUGUUUUGUGAUUCACCAAACUUCACCAAACACCGAACUUCACAAAAACAAACAAAGAUUUGGGCCUGCCAUUAAAUAACAUUAAACAGUGCCCUAGAACAAGUUUUGCAUCAACUGCUGACUCAUGCAGCUUUCCUAGACAGCUCACAUCACACCCCUAUUCUAACCAGUACUGAUGGGUAGCUCCAUAGGAACUCCUUGAGUUUUCUUCUCAACAAAGAAAGCACAGCUUUGUCCUUCAGCCCUCUGAGUGUGAGCGGGCACAUUGCUGCCCAGCCCCAUUCUAUAAUGAUGCUUGGUCCUCCAAGCCCUUAUUUAAGGAAACAAUUUCAGAUCACUCAGUGAGGAAUACACAAGUGGACUCCUUAACAGCACUACUCAGAUUGAUGCUGCUGUAGAAUCAGUUCAGGUAUCUUUUAUCCCCCCUAUGUUAUGCCCUCAGUUUACAUAAUACCCACAGCGUCCUGUGGGUUUGAGCACUGCUUUAUUUAUUGUUACUUGGUCUGAAAAAAGAAAAUACCUCUCCCAGUUUUGACGUCAGCGAUGGAAGCAGCUCUCCCCAGCAGCACUAUGCUGAAUGCACUCCUGCUGGAGGAUGUACGCAGUCUCCUCCUUUGUCCUUAACAGAGGUCACUACAAUAGGGUUUCUAAAGUCUCUGUUUCUCCAUUUAAGCUCUUUAGCGUUCUGCUUCCCCUUCAGAUUAGCUGCUCAGUUGACAGCUCUGCUACAGCAGCAUUAAAAGGAGUCAUUCUGUUUCCAGUUUGGAUUUUGUCUUUCAGUUAAGCUAUCUGUGCUGAGACAUCUUCCUCCUUAUACAGCCACCAAAAGAGUCCUGCUAGACAGAUGUGUUUGGCACUGCUGACUCUCCUGGACCUGCAAAACCAACAUGAGCUGCAAUUCAGACCAGACCUUCUGGUUGGAAUUAGUUGAGUGGAUCAGACUUCAGGUCUGGUCAAGUGAGAAGCAGAGCUCCAACCAUGUGUACUCAGAUGCCUUUCUGACAGACUUUGUCUCUUCAGUGAGAUGGGGAUGAUUUUAUGCACUGCAGAACUGAAGAGAGAGACUGAAUGCAGGGAAAGCUGUGCUCCCUCUGGAUGUCUGUUAACAUAGAUGGGGGUGGUUGGACUUCUGUGAGCACCAGUGUUGCUGCACAGAUGUCCCAGGCACUGUGUACUGGGAUUUAUUCACGUACCAUUGGAGUAGACAAACUGUCUGGAAACUUGCAGAAUUCCUACAUAAAAGCCCUUGUCCUUUUUGGUGGGGCCUUGGUGGGCCCAAGGUUACAGAUUCAGACUGGAGAGCAGAUAAGAAAGGAAGUUAUCCAGUAGUGUCUAUCUGAAAGAACAAACAAACAAACAAAACAGCUUGUGCAGUGACUUGGCUGACCAAGCUCCCAAGGUGACACACUGCCAGGGCCGUCCUAUCUAUCUGGGAAGGUCUACUCAAGCAUUAUCCUACCCUUGAUAACACUGAUGACUUUUGUCACCAUGCCCAGGGGUGUCCCCACACCUUUGGGGACAGAGAGGUGGAGGGAGAAGGGGAAGGGUGUAUACAACCUGCUUAUGGCUGUUUGCCUUAAUCUUGGUUAUUUAUUCCACAUUCAUGUGCCCCUUACUCCUCACUCUCUGCCCCUGCUCUGUGUGGGUUACCUCCAUGGGAUGCUCUGCUUCCUUGGCUGACCUUGAGUUGGCUUCCCACAGCUCUUCAAGCCCUGCUCCAACAUGAGUCUGUAACCACAGAACCAAUAUUUGAUGUCAGUGUUUGCAAUUCUUAGUGAGCUCUAAAAGCGUUAUCAGAGAUUUAUGAUGUAAUUUUACUCUCCCCGUGCUUCCACUUUGAAAGCAGCUGUUCAUAAGUGGACAUACCACCAAAAGUGAUGAGGUGUAUGAGGUGAGCUGUGAAGUGAGAGACAGUUCUCUCUGGUAAGAUAGGGCUUGUAAAAGUAAGGUAUGUAUGAGGGCUGUUCCUUCAGUUCGAAUUGGCAGAUGCAUUCUUUGUUGUUUUCAGGCUGGCUUGGUGAAACCCAGGAAACAUAUCUUUGCACAGUCACACUGACUGUGUGGAGCCCAUAGAGACAGAUUAUAGAGGGGCAAACUGAAAUGUAUUGGCUAGAUGGAGAAAUUCUUUUUGUUUGCACAAAGGCAAACGCAGCCAUUAGUGUACAUAUCUGUAUUGAUUCUUCUGAUGGGGUGAAAGGGUCGACACGGUAGGUAGCACCAAGGCUCCAGCAUUAUCUACUUCACUUCCCUCCUGUGCUUCUGCAAGACUUCCCCUGUGCCUCAAAAAUCCCUCUGGUAUGCACUGGUGAUAAACAUCCUGAUCUGAUUCCAGCAGUGGAGGCUUCUGGUACUUCUCUAAUUUGUUGGUAUAUGUUCAAGCAGCUUGUUUGUACCUGUGUCCAAUCCUAGAGCCAAAGAAAUUCCCAAGGUGGAAGAGAUCUCAGUGUGGCAUUCCAGUACUUAGAGAGUGCCUACAGGAAAGAGGAGGAGGAAGUGUAAUGAGAGGACAAGAACAAUAAACCAGUGGGAUGUGUGACCUCAUUCUUAGGAAGCCAAGGCAUCAGUCUGGUUCAAUAGCACUGUUGCAAUUCUGGGUGAGUUCCCAAGUCGCCCAUUGGAGACUAUUGGUGCAAUUUUGCUUCUGUUGCACUUGGUUCUUUCAAAUUAGUUGUCCACAAAUAUCAUACAUAGCACUGAAAAGCAAUAAUGUGAACAAGGUGGGAUUGCAAAGCAAGGGCUAUUUCUCUCUGGUAAGAGAGGUCUUGUAAAAGUCUGUCAAAGAGAGCUGAUCCAUUUUUUUGAGUUGAAUAUAUAACUUGAUAGCCCCCAAGUUUCCCUCAGCAACCUCAUCACUGCCAGCCUGAGCUAUCAGGAAGGGACAAUGAUAAGAGGAGUGAUCCAGACCAGGAAGUUUCCUGAUGUCCCUGACCAAAGCCCCAGAGCUGCAGCACACUUCCCUACUAGAAGGGUGCAGCCAACACACUGGGCCCUUUAUUUCCCUCAGAAGAGAGUCACUUGCAAGUCAAAUGAUGAGGUCUCCUUUUUUGACCCCUAACAGGGGCUAUUCCCAUCUCUAAGACUUGCAUCACAGUCAUGAAAAUCUGCUGUGUUUAAAAUCCCAUUAAUCGUUCACAGAUUACAGCAGUGCAGCCUUGCUCAUGCUUUACCUUGCAUAAAAGCAAUAUCCAUGAGGCUCUAAUGGAAUGGCAAACUAGCACAGACCUGCAGGAUAACACACAGCCAACCCUUUCUGCUUUUAUUUCUGAGUCUUGUCUACACAUGUGAGAAACUACAUUAUUUAGAAACUAGAAAAAUACAUAAUCAUCUUGCUCAUCUUUCUCAUUUUCCUUUGUUUUUCUUCAAUACAGACUGAUACCGAAGUUGGAGGGUGUAAGCCUUAGAAAGCCAGGGAAAUAUUACCAAAGAACCUCUACUUUGGUCGUCAGCAGAAAUAAGUCAGUACCAGAGUAGUUUGUGAUGUGACAGAACUGCUCUCCCAUUUAUUUAAAAUCAAACUCCCUCUGCACUGGAUUCAAUAACAACAUAAUUUUACAGACAGGUUCGGUAACAUUGAUAGCCACAGCACGCCGCAGUUUAGAGGUAGGUGCACAACAAAGCGACUUGUUAGCACUUCAAACUUCAUGAGAAAAGAUGAA